rnacentral:rRNA from 1 species
UACGGAGGGUGCAAGCGUUAUCCGGAUUCACUGGGUUUAAAGGGUGCGUAGGUGGGUUGGUAAGUCAGUGGUGAAAUCUCCAGGCUUAACUUGGAAACUGCCAUUGAUACUAUCAAUCUUGAAUACCGUGGAGGUCAGCGGAAUAUGUCAUGUAGCGGUGAAAUGCUUAGAUAUGACAUAGAACACCAAUUGCGAAGGCAGCUGGCUACACGAAUAUUGACACUGAUGCACGAAAGCGUGGGGAUCAAACAGGAUUAGAAUACCCGUUGUA